CCGAGUACCGGUACCUUCGGGUACCUGCUCCCACCACAUGUGAACCCUAUUUCGUUGCCUCGGCGGGGCGAUGGUACCCAUCCUCCGGUGCACGCUGGGGAGUACUCGCCAGAGGACCUUUAAACCAGCCUAACAGUGAAUCUGAAUAAACCAAAAUAGAAACA
rnacentral:misc_RNA from 1 species